rnacentral:rRNA from 1 species
CGGCGUGCCUAAUACAUGCAAGUCGAACGCAUUUGUGGUUGAAUGAUAUGAAGAACUUGUUCAGAUUUGAUUUUCAACAUUGCAAUGAGUGGCGAACGGGUGAGUAACACGUGGGAAACCUACCUCUUAGCAGGGGAUAACAUUGGAAACAAAUGCUAAUACCGUAUAAUAAUUAAAACCGCAUGGUUUUAGUUUAAAAGAUGGUCUUGCUAUCACUAAGAGAUGGUCCCGCGGUAUAUUAGUUAGUUGGUGAGGUAAUGGCUCACCAAGACAAUGAUACAUAGCCGAGUUGAGAGACUGACCGGCCACAAUGGGACUGAGACACGGCCCAUACUCCUACGGGAGGCAGCAGUAGGGAAUCUUCCACAAUGGACGAAAGUCUGAUGGAGCAACGCCGCGUGUGUGAUGAAGGGUUUCGGCUCGUAAAACACUGUUGUAAGAGAAGAAUGACAUUGAGAGUAACUGUUCAAUGUGUGACGGUAUCUUACCAGAAAGGAACGGCUAAAUACGUG